AACGAACGCUGGCGGCAGGCUUAACACAUGCAAGUCGAACGAUGUAGCAAUACAUAGUGGCGCACGGGUGAGUAACGCGUGGGAAUAUACCUUAUAGUGGGGAAUAACUUUGGGAAACUAAAGCUAAUACCGCAUACGCCCGAGAGGGGAAGGAUUUAUCGCUAUAAGAUUAGCCCGCGUGAGAUUAGGUAGUUGGUGGGGUAAUGGCCUACCAAGCCUACGAUCUCUAGCUGGUCUGAGAGGAUGAUCAGCCACACUGGAACUGAGACACGGUCCAGACUCCUACGGGAGGGCAGCAGUGGGGGAAUAUUGGGCAAUGGACGAAAGUCUGACCCAGCCAUGCCGCGUGAAUGAUGAAGGCCUUAGGGUUGUAAAGUUCUUUCGCCGAUGAAGAUAAUGACGGUAGUCGGAGAAGAAGCCCCGGCUAACUUACGUGCCAGCAGCCGCGGUAAAGU
rnacentral:rRNA from 1 species